AUUGAACGCUGGCGGCAUGCCUUACACAUGCAAGUCGAACGGCAGCACGGGUGCUUGCACCUGGUGGCGAGUGGCGAACGGGUGAGUAAUACAUCGGAACGUACCUUAUCGUGGGGGAUAACGCAGCGAAAGCUGUGCUAAUACCGCAUACGCCCUGAGGGGGAAAGCGGGGGAUCGCAAGACCUCGCGCGAUUAGAGCGGCCGAUGCCUGAUUAGCUUGUUGGUGGGGUAAAAGCCCACCAAGGCGACGAUCAGUAGCUGGUCUGAGAGGACGAUCAGCCACACUGGGACUGAGACACGGCCCAGACUCCUACGGGAGGCAGCAGUGGGGAAUCUUGGACAAUGGGGGCAACCCUGAUCCAGCAAUGCCGCGUGAGUGAGGAAGGCCUUCGGGUUGUAAAGCUCUUUUGUCAGGGAAGAAACACCGGCUCUAACACAGUCCGGGAAUGACGGUACCUGAAGAAUAAGCACCGGCUAACUACGUGCCAGCCGCCGCAGUAA
rnacentral:rRNA from 1 species